AGAACAUUGAGGCUUUACAAUAUCUAUAUGUUCUGUAACCUUUUACAACAAAAUAUGAAGAAAAAUAUUCUGUAGAAAUAAGCUAUUACAUAAAGAUAAGCUGGUAAGCUGUUUUUAAUCUGGAGGCUUGUGCUUGAAAUGCCGUCAACUUGUCAUGUUGUUUUAAAUGUGAUACCACAGAAUGGGAUAGAUCAAGAUGGUCUGAUGUUCAGCAUUAAAUCUGAGCACAGAGAAUUUUCUUUUUUUUUUUUUAAUAGCUCCUUUACCUGUUCUGCCCAAAAGCAGCGUAGCUGAGUUACUUAUUAAAAGACCUGUUGGGUAAACAGGGUGUAAUACAUUUUUAUCCGUUGAACUAUUGGAUCAUUGUGGCAUCUCCAUCUUGUUUUGGAUAAGGAGAAAUCUUCAAUGCUUUUUCAGUGCCUGAAACGAAUAGUAUGUUCUAUGUUCACGAUAGUGUGAUAUUGAAGCAAAAUACAAAAUUUUGAACUGUUAAGGCUUAUGAGACAGCAUGUGGUUAGUGUUCCAGAAAGCGUGCAAGUGUGUUUCUAGGAAGACUAAUGAUGCAACCACCAAAUGUUUUUCCUAGUUGAGAAGUCUUGGCCAUCUCAUUGCAGUAAAAUACUCGAUCUUAGCAACAGUUGCUAUGUAGGACUACCUUUUUAGGCUAUGUUGGUACCAUUUUAAGAUGUUAAAAGCUCUGCAGUGUUCCUGCUGAUUCACCUCCUACACUUGUGAGACUUAACUGUGUAGCUUAGGACUUCCAUUUUACGUAGAAAAAUGAUUAGCAAAGGUUUUAUUGAAAGGGUAUCUACAGAGUUAAAAGCUACCAUCGGCAUAGCCAAAGAGGAAAUGAGGCUUGUACUUUGUGGGUUUCUAGCGUGGAUGAUUUGUUCUUAUUAAGCAGUUCUGGGUAUAUAUCAUAAAACAA